GGUUGAGUUCGGUAUGGGCAGUGCCUUUCCCCACUAACGGCUGCUGGAAGGAUGUUGCCUGUAUCAGCAGUAGUAACAAGUAGCCAAAUGCUACCGGGAAAAAUUUUUCUGGCGGGUGAAAGCUGUCACAUUCGCCCAUGCUCAGAGCAGUCUGGUUUGUAGUGGGGAGUUUCCACAGGACUACCAUGGCAGAUCAUAGCUGUGUGGAAUAUUGAAAACCAGGACAUUGGUGUGUGUCAGCAUACCCUAACAUUGCUUCAAAUCUUGAGUGGCUACGGAGAUUUCAUUCUUAUAAUCAUCAUGUGAGUCUCCAAAAAGUACAAUGAAAUCAUUGGAAGACAACUUACCUGUUUCUGACAGUUCUGUAAGUUUAUUAAUUCCUGCAAGUGACACACCAUGCUUAAUAAAUGCUGCUGCGGGCACAUUAACAUGUUGCAAGUAUGUGGCAAGAAAUGCUGCGAUCAUGGCUGUCCCCAAGGAUGGUUACUUAGUUCUGUAGUUUUGGCUUAUGGUUGGACUGAGAUUGGGGAACAGAAUUAUGAUGUGUUAUAUGCCAUAAGCUAAAUAAAAUGGGGAACAGAAGUA